rnacentral:rRNA from 1 species
AUGCAACUUUCCAUAUUCCUAGUUACGUAUUUACUUACGGCGACGAAGAAUAAAACUAUCGCUAUAUUUUUUCCUUUUCCUAGUUCUUCUUCCAAGCGCAGGAUAACCCCAAGGGGUUGUGGGUUUUUUUCUACCAAUGGGAGAUUUCCCUUCACCGCCCCCAUGGGGGUGGUCCACAGGGUUCAUAACUACCCCUCUUACUACGGGGCGUUUACCUAG